AACAAUAUGCUUGAAAAUAAGAUCAUCUUGAUGAGAUGGAACAUGGUAGUCGGCCUGCCUGUUGUUA
rnacentral:tRNA from 1 species